rnacentral:rRNA from 1 species
ACUCAAAGGAAUUGACGGGGGCUCACACAAGCGGUGGAGCAUGUGGCUUAAUUCGAGGCUACGCGAAGAACCUUAUCCUGGGCUUGACAUGCAGGGAUUAGUCCCGAGAAAUCGGGAUGACGCCGCAAGGUGGAACCUGCACAGGUGCUGCAUGGCUGUCGUCAGCUCGUGCCGUGAGGUGUUGGGUUAAGUCCCGUAACGAGCGAAACCCCUGUGACUAGUUGCCAGCACGUCAAGGUGGGGACUCUAGUCAGACCGCCGGCGUCAAGCCGGAGGAAGGCGGGGACGACGUCAAGUCAUCAUGGCCCUUAUGCCCAGGGCUGCACACGUGCUACAAUGGGGCGGACAAAGCGUCGCCAGGCCGCAAGGCCGCGCUAAUCGCAAAAAUCGCCCCUCAGUUCGGAUUGCGGGCUGCAACUCGCCCGCAUGAAGCCGGAAUCGCUAGUAAUCGCGGAUCAGCACUGCCGCGGUGAAUGUGUUCCUGAGCCUUGCACACACCGCCCGU